ACGAGUUAGGGCCUCUGGCCCGAACCUCCAACCCUUUGUAUCAAAACCUCGUUGCCUUGGGGAGGCCCUGCCUCACGGCUGGCCCCCCGAUGGACCACUAAACUCUGCAUCUGUAUGACGUCUGAGUAAAGAUUUUAAACUAAAUCA
rnacentral:misc_RNA from 1 species